UGGGGAAUAUUGCGCAAUGGGCGAAAGCCUGACGCAGCGACGCCGCGUGGAGGAUGAAGGUCUUCGGAUUGUAAACUUCUGUUAAGUGGGAAAAAAGACCUUUCUUUAAUAGAGAAAGGGGAUGAUGGUACCACUAGAGAAAGCACCGGCUAAACUCGUGCCAGCAGCCGCGGUAAUACGAGUGGUGCUAGCGUUAUUCGGAUUUAUUGGGCGUAAAGGGUGCGUAGACGGUGUAAUAAGUCUGUUGUUAAAUUCCUCGGCUCAACCGAGGAUCUGCGAUGGAAACUAUUGCGCUAGAGGAUGGAAGAGAGAAGUGGAAUUCUUGGAGUAGCGGUAAAAUGCGUAGAUCUCAAGAGGAACACCAAUGGCGAAGGCAGCUUCUUGGUCCACUCCUGACGUUGAGGCACGAAAGCGUGGGGAGCAAACAGG
rnacentral:rRNA from 1 species